UUAAGCGACUAAGCGUACACGGUGGAUGCCCUGGCAGUCAGAGGCGAUGAAGGACGUGCUAAUCUGCGAUAAGCGUCGGUAAGGUGAUAUGAACCGUUAUAACCGGCGAUUUCCGAAUGGGGAAACCCAGUGUGAUUCGUCACACUAUCAUUAACUGAAUCCAUAGGUUAAUGAGGCGAACCGGGGGAACUGAAACAUCUAAGUACCCCGAGGAAAAGAAAUCAACCGAGAUUCCCCCAGUAGCGGCGAGCGAACGGGGAGCAGCCCAGAGCCUGAAUCAGUGUGUGUGUUAGUGGAAGCGUCUGGAAAGGCGCGCGAUACAGGGUGACAGCCCCGUACACAAAAAUGCACAUACUGUGAGCUCGAUGAGUAGGGCGGGACACGUGGUAUCCUGUCUGAAUAUGGGGGGACCAUCCUCCAAGGCUAAAUACUCCUGACUGACCGAUAGUGAACCAGUACCGUGAGGGAAAGGCGAAAAGAACCCCGGCGAGGGGAGUGAAAAAGAACCUGAAACCGUGUACGUACAAGCAGUGGGAGCACGCUUCGGCGUGUGACUGCGUACCUUUUGUAUAAUGGGUCAGCGACUUAUAUUCUGUAGCAAGGUUAACCGAAUAGGGGAGCCGAAGGGAAACCGAGUCUUAACUGGGCGUUAAGUUGCAGGGUAUAGACCCGAAACCCGGUGAUCUAGCCAUGGGCAGGUUGAAGGUUGGGUAACACUAACUGGAGGACCGAACCGACUAAUGUUGAAAAAUUAGCGGAUGACUUGUGGCUGGGGGUGAAAGGCCAAUCAAACCGGGAGAUAGCUGGUUCUCCCCGAAAGCUAUUUAGGUAGCGCCUCGUGAAUUCAUCUCCGGGGGUAGAGCACUGUUUCGGCAAGGGGGUCAUCCCGACUUACCAACCCGAUGCAAACUGCGAAUACCGGAGAAUGUUAUCACGGGAGACACACGGCGGGUGCUAACGUCCGUCGUGAAGAGGGAAACAACCCAGACCGCCAGCUAAGGUCCCAAAGUCAUGGUUAAGUGGGAAACGAUGUGGGAAGGCCCAGACAGCCAGGAUGUUGGCUUAGAAGCAGCCAUCAUUUAAAGAAAGCGUAAUAGCUCACUGGUCGAGUCGGCCUGCGCGGAAGAUGUAACGGGGCUAAACCAUGCACCGAAGCUGCGGCAGCGACACUAUGUGUUGUUGGGUAGGGGAGCGUUCUGUAAGCCUGCGAAGGUGUGCUGUGAGGCAUGCUGGAGGUAUCAGAAGUGCGAAUGCUGACAUAAGUAACGAUAAAGCGGGUGAAAAGCCCGCUCGCCGGAAGACCAAGGGUUCCUGUCCAACGUUAAUCGGGGCAGGGUGAGUCGACCCCUAAGGCGAGGCCGAAAGGCGUAGUCGAUGGGAAACAGGUUAAUAUUCCUGUACUUGGUGUUACUGCGAAGGGGGGACGGAGAAGGCUAUGUUGGCCGGGCGACGGUUGUCCCGGUUUAAGCGUGUAGGCUGAUUUUCCAGGCAAAUCCGGAAAAUCAAGGCUGAGGCGUGAUGACGAGGCACUACGGUGCUGAAGCAACAAAUGCCCUGCUUCCAGGAAAAGCCUCUAAGCAUCAGGUAACAUCAAAUCGUACCCCAAACCGACACAGGUGGUCAGGUAGAGAAUACCAAGGCGCUUGAGAGAACUCGGGUGAAGGAACUAGGCAAAAUGGUGCCGUAACUUCGGGAGAAGGCACGCUGAUAUGUAGGUGAAGUCCCUCGCGGAUGGAGCUGAAAUCAGUCGAAGAUACCAGCUGGCUGCAACUGUUUAUUAAAAACACAGCACUGUGCAAACACGAAAGUGGACGUAUACGGUGUGACGCCUGCCCGGUGCCGGAAGGUUAAUUGAUGGGGUCAGCGCAAGCGAAGCUCUUGAUCGAAGCCCCGGUAAACGGCGGCCGUAACUAUAACGGUCCUAAGGUAGCGAAAUUCCUUGUCGGGUAAGUUCCGACCUGCACGAAUGGCGUAAUGAUGGCCAGGCUGUCUCCACCCGAGACUCAGUGAAAUUGAACUCGCUGUGAAGAUGCAGUGUACCCGCGGCAAGACGGAAAGACCCCGUGAACCUUUACUAUAGCUUGACACUGAACAUUGAGCCUUGAUGUGUAG
rnacentral:rRNA from 1 species